rnacentral:rRNA from 1 species
AACGAACGCUGGCGGCAUGCCUAACACAUGCAUGUCGAACGAGACCUUCGGGUCUAGUGGCGCACGGGUGCGUAACGCGUGGGAACCUGCCCUUAGGUUCGGAAUAACUCCCCGAAAGGGGUGCUAAUACCGGAUAAUGUCUUCGGACCAAAGAUUUAUCGCCUUUGGAUGGGCCCGCGUUGGAUUAGCUAGUUGGUAGGGUAAAAGCCUACCAAGGCGACGAUCCAUAGCUGGUCUGAGAGGAUGAUCAGCCACACUGGGACUGAGACACGGCCCAGACUCCUACGGGAGGCAGCAGUGGGGAAUAUUGGACAAUGGGCGAAAGCCUGAUCCAGCAAUGCCGCGUGAGUGAUGAAGGCCUUAGGGUUGUAAAGCCCUUUUACCCGGGAUGAUAAUGACAGUACCGGGAGAAUAAGCUCCGGCUAACUCCGUG